rnacentral:rRNA from 1 species
AGAGUUUGAUCAUGGCUCAGGACGAACGCUGGCGGCGCGCCUAACACAUGCAAGUCGAACGGAGCUGAGAGGAGCUUGCUUUUCCUAGCUUAGUGGCGAACGGGUGAGUAACGCGUGAGUAACCUGCCCUGGAGUGGGGGACAACAGUUGGAAACGACUGCUAAUACCGCAUAAGCCCACGAUCCGGCAUCGGAUUGAGGGAAAAGGAUUUAUUCGCUUCAGGAUGGACCCGCGUCUGAUUAGCUAGUUGGUGAGGUAACGGCCCACCAAGGCAACGAUCAGUAGCCGGCCUGAGAGGGUGAACGGCCACAUUGGGACUGAGACACGGCCCAA